rnacentral:rRNA from 1 species
CAGCGGAGGGAUCAUUACAGAGUUGCAAAACUCCCAAACCAUUGUGAACGAUACCCGUACCGUUGCUUCGGCGAGCCGGCUCCUCCCGUAACCCGGGGGGCUCGCCGCAGCCUCCCCUCCGGGGGGCGGCCCGCCGGACGACACACAAAACUCUUGUCUCACACAGGCCUCUCUGAGAACUUAUACAAAUGAGUCAAAACUUUCAACAACGGAUCUCUUGGUUCUGGCAUCGAUGAAGAACGCAGCGAAAUGCGAUAAGUAAUGUGAAUUGCAGAAUUCAGUGAAUCAUCGAAUCUUUGAACGCACAUUGCGCCCGCUAGUAUUCUGGCGGGCAUGCCUGUCCGAGCGUCAUUUCAACCAUCAAGCCCCCGGGCUUGCGUUGGGGCACCGCGGCCGCCGCGGUCCCUGAAAACCAGUGGCGGGCUCGCUGUCACUCCGGGCGCAGUACUAUAUCUCGCUCUGGAUCGUGCGGCGGGUGCCGGCCGUUAAACACCCCCCUUUCAUAAGGUUGACCUCGGAUCAG